rnacentral:misc_RNA from 1 species
AACGCACCUUGCGCCCUUUGGCUAUUCUGAAGGGCAUGCCUGUUUGAGUAUCAUGAACACCUCAACUCUCAUGGUCCGCCAUGACGAGCUUGGACUUUGGGGGUCUUGCCGGCCUAGCGUCGGCUCCUCUCAAAUGGAUCAGCUUCCCAGUGUUUGGCGGCGUCACAGGUGUGAUAACUAUCUACGCUUGUGGUUUUCUGCCAUUAACCUUCAGCAAUGGAGGUUCGCUGGAGCUCACAGAUGUCUCUCCUUGGGGAGGACAGCUUCUUGAACGUCUGAUCUCAAAUCAGGUAGGACUACCCGCUGAACUUAA